ACAAGUAUAUGAUGUGGCCUUCUUACUUCCCCUUUUUGCUUCAUUAUUUGCUGAAUCCUCAACUAUCGACUGCUGCGCUUUUAUUAAAAUCGGAUUGAUCUCCUUUUUGAUAAAACUAUUGUCUUCUCUACACGUUGCCGUGCGUUCUGCGGCCAGUUACGCUCUAAAUCUUUUUUACGGGUCACAUGUACUUUGCACGAAAUUCAAGGAGAAACCGCAGCUGCUUCUACUUUUACAAGUCUUGCGAGGAUCGCUGGAGCCCACGUGCUCUCAAGUUUCUUCCAUUGUAACUUCCUUUCUUUCCG